rnacentral:lncRNA from 1 species
GAAAGCCUUGAUGAGAGCAAUUGUGCAACUUGAAAAUACAGUCUGUGAAGAAGGCUUGAAAGGAUUUGGUACAUUUAACCUGGAUAAGAGAAGGCAGAGAGGAUACAUAGCAAUAAAUUUGUGGAAGACUGAAGCAAAGAGAGAAGAAAUAAACUUCUGGACAGAACAAAACGUUGUGAGCUUACACUCCAGCUGAGGAGACAUCAGGAAGCCUUUCUCAUUGGUGUGUUCAGCAUGGGACUGGAUCACCUCCUGAUGUGGGAUCUCUACUAGCAGAAGGUCUAGCAGUGCACUAGACAAGCCAAUCCUGUUGCAAAGCCUAUUCAUCUGCCCAUGCCUAGAUAGCAACGCUGGGAAUAACAUCCACAGUGCAUUACAUUUCAUUCCUCUAAAACCAAUAAUCUACUUUUAAAAGAAGAGUAAGAAGUGUUAUGCAACAAAGC